rnacentral:rRNA from 1 species
GAUGAACGCUGGCGGCGUGCCUAAUACAUGCAAGUCGAGCGAACAGAUGAGGAGCUUGCUCCUCUGACGUUAGCGGCGGACGGGUGAGUAACACGUGGAUAACCUACCUAUAAGACUGGGAUAACUACGGGAAACCGGAGCUAAUACCGGAUAAUAUAUUGAACCGCAUGGUUCAAUAGUGAAAGACGGUUUUGCUGUCACUUAUAGAUGGAUCCGCGCCGCAUUAGCUAGUUGGUAAGGUAACGGCUUACCAAGGCAACGAUGCGUAGCCGACCUGAGAGGGUGAUCGGCCACACUGGAACUGAGACACGGUCCAGACUCCUACGGGAGGCAGCAGUAGGGAAUCUUCCGCAAUGGGCGAAAGCCUGACGGAGCAACGCCGCGUGAGUGAUGAAGGUCUUCGGAUCGUAAAACUCUGUUAUUAGGGAAGAACAAAUGUGUAAGUAACUAUGCACGUCUUGACGGUACCGAAUCAGAAAGCCACGGCUAACUACGU